AUUCCAGCUCCAAUAGUGUAUAUUAAAGUUGUUGCAGUUAAAAAGCUCGUAGUUGGAUUUCUGGCGGGAGCGAUCGGUCCUUCACUCAGUGUUGGAACCUGAUUGUCUCCUGCCAUCCAUGGAGAAAACUUAUCUGGCAUUAAGUUGUCGGGUAGGCAAUCUCCAUCUUUUACUGUGAAAAAAUUAGAGUGUUCAAAGCAGGCUUAUGCCGUUGAAUAUAUUAGCAUGGAAUAAUAAGAUAGGACUAUGGUACUAUUUUGUUGGUUUCUAGAGCUGAGGUAAUGAUUAAUAGGGAUAGUUGGGGGCGUUAAUAUUUAGUUGUCAGAGGUGAAAUUCUUAGAUUUACAAAAGAUUAACUUCUGCGAAAGCAUUCGCCAAGGAUGUUUUCAUCA
rnacentral:rRNA from 1 species